UGGGGAAUUUUGGCCAAUGGGCGAAAGCCUGAUCCAGCCAUGCCGCGUGAGUGAAGAAGGCCUUCGGGUUGUAAAGCUCUUUUAGUCGGAAAGAAAAGAUCAUAAUGAACAAUUAUGAUUCAUGACGGUACCGACAGAAAAAGCACCGGCUAACUACGUGCCAGCAGCCGCGGUAAUACGUAGGGUGCGAGCGUUAAUCGGAAUUACUGGGCGUAAAGGGUGCGCAGGCGGUUUUGUAAGUCAGAUGUGAAAUCCCCGGGCUUAACCUGGGAAUUGCGUUUGAAACUGCAAGACUAGAGUGCAGCAGAGGGGAGUGGAAUUCCAUGUGUAGCAGUGAAAUGCGUAGAGAUGUGGAAGAACACCGAUGGCGAAGGCAGCUCCCUGGGUUGACACUGACGCUCAUGCACGAAAGCGUGGGGAGCAAACA
rnacentral:rRNA from 1 species